UACGUAGGGUGCGAGCGUUAAUCGGAAUUACUGGGCGUAAAGCGUGCGCAGGCGGUGAUGUAAGACAGGUGUGAAAUCCCCGGGCUUAACCUGGGAACUGCAUUUGUGACUGCAUCGCUGGAGUGCGGCAGAGGGGGAUGGAAUUCCGCGUGUAGCAGUGAAAUGCGUAGAUAUCAGGAGGAACACCGGUGGCGAAGGCGGCUGCCUGGCCUAGGACCGACGCUGAGGCGCGAAAGCGUGGGGAGCAAACGGG
rnacentral:rRNA from 1 species